rnacentral:rRNA from 1 species
CUUAGAGUUUGAUCAUGGCUCAGGAUGAACGCUGGCGGUAUGCAUAACACAUGCAAGUCGAACGGUCUGGAAACAGACAGUGGCGGACGGGUGAGUAACGCGUGAGAAUCUAACUUGUGGUUCGGGAUAACCACUGGAAACGGUGGCUAAGACCGGAUGUGCCGGGAGGUGAAAGGGAGACCGCCACAAGAGGAGCUCGCGUCCGAUUAGCUAGAUGGUGGGGUAAAGGCCUACCAUGGCGACGAUCGGUAGCUGGUCUGAGAGGACGAACAGCCACACUGGGACUGAGGCACGGCCCAGACUCCUACGGGAGGCAGCAGUGGGGAAUUUUCCGCAAUGGGCGAAAGCCUGACGGAGCAAUACCGCGUGAGGGAGGAAGGCCCUUGGGUUGUAAACCUCUUUUCUCAGGGAAGAAGAAAUGACGGUACCUGAGGAAAAAGCAUCGGCUAACUCCGUGCCAGCAGCCGCGGUAAUACGGAGGAUGCAAGCGUUAUCCGGAAUGAUUGGGCGUAAAGGGUCCGUAGGUGGUGAUGUAUGUCUAUUGUCAAAGGUUCUGGCUUAACCAGAGACAGGCAGUAGAAACUGCAAAACUAGAGUGCAGUCGGGGCAGGGGGAAUUCCUGGUGUAGCGGUGAAAUGCGUAGAGUUCAGGAAGAACACCGGUGGCGAAAGCGCCCUGCUAGGCUGUGACUGACACUGAGGGACGAAAGCUAGGGGAGCGAAUGGGAUUAGAUACCCCAGUAGUCCUAGCCGUAAACGAUGGAUACUAGGCGUUGCGUGUAUCGACCCAUGCAGUGCCGUAGCUAACGCGUUAAGUAUCCCGCCUGGGGAGUACGCACGCAAGUGUGAAACUCAAAGGAAUUGGCGGGGG